rnacentral:lncRNA from 1 species
AUGCAUCUGAAGAGUCUGCUUGAAAGACACAAUAAUGAGUGCUGCGUGAACCCCAGCAGGGCCAUUCCAGAUGCUCCACAGGACAGCACUGAAUGCACCGCAGUGAGCCUGGGAGGCCCUGGGCUACUGCUGCCUCCCCUUCUCUGGGCUGAACAUCAAGAAACCUCAAACCUGAGACACGGUGGGAAAUCAGGAAGACAUGAGGCUUUGCUCAACACUGGAGAACACCAGUUCUUUUCAGUUUGUAUGCAUCUUUAUCAGAGACUAGUAAAGAACUACAACACCUUGGAGUCCCACGAGCAUUUUAUGACAUGAAAAGCCCAUGAAACAGAUUGAAAAAAGGGGAAAGCCUGUAGAUAGAUGGCAACUUCACUAACAUCUUUAUUUUUUUAAAAUUGUAUCUAUUCCUAUGCUCUAAUGAUCUAGAAUUUUCAGUGAAUCCCUGGGAAACUUAAAGAAUGCUGUGAGAGCAUUCUUUUUUAAAUAUUUAAGAAAAGAGACAUUUACUUUUAUAAAGAAGAACAUAUGGCCUUGUUUGUUAUUGUGAAUCCUUGGUUCUAAAUACUGCUGUCACUCAGGCAUGUGUUCCCAGCAUUAACCUUUGUCUGAACUAUUCUUAUCCCUAUGUAGGUGUAUUUUAUAUCUGCAUCUUCCAUUAAGCCUUCAACUAACCAUUUAACACACACACACGCACACACAAAUUGGCCCCCAAGUAUUUUUAGGUUUCAAUCCUCUUAUUUUUCACAUGUUAAACUCAUGGACCUUAUAUUUAAGUAUAUUUUCUGCACCUGCUCUCUGCCCAGACCCCUCCCUUAACUGACCUGAGGUCUCUCCUCUCUCUGAUGCUGAAGGGUCUACUUGUGGUGCAAGGAUUUUCUAUACUGUGGUGAUUACAGAAAUGUAUGAUUGAAGUUUAUUAUAUGUCAAUGAUGAAAGGGAUAAUCCUGAUUUUUUAAUAAUGGGAUUUAUCCUGAUAACUUUGAAGUAAAUAAAACAUUCAUCUUUGUGGCUUUACUAAAACAUAGCUGUUAAUGGACACUGUAUCCCCUUUAAAAUUUUCUUCUUUUUUUUACUUUAUUCACACACUUUUCCAUGGAAACCCCAAACAUUAAUUUAAAAAAAAUGGUAUUAGUUUUCUUUGAGAUAAUAAAAUUUUAAUGUGUUGUAAUAAAG